GCUCACUUUGUUGGCGCACAGAAUAAAACUGGAAUAAUGCAGAGAAGAUUAGCAUGGCCCUGCUCAAGGAUGACACGCAGGGCUGUGGAGUGUUAACACUGAAA